rnacentral:lncRNA from 7 species
GAGCCUUGACACGCGGCCUGUGGGCUUGAGCGCAUGCGCGGAGUAGCGGCUCGCUGAGGGGGUGGUGUUGCUGCGCGCGCAAUGGAGCGUCGGUGGCGAAAGAUUCUUUCUGCUUGAAUGCAGAGGUCUCCAUUGGACACAAAAUCUCUUUCCCAACACAUUUAUCUCUCCAAUUUAGAGUUAUUGUUUUAUCAGGUGCCUAAAAUUUAGCAUCAUAGAUUGAAAAUUUUUGAGCUGAAAGGCUCCCUUUCUCCCUCACUUGGAGGUAAUACAACUGGCAAUCACUAGCCAAAUGAUACUGCUGUUACCCACUUAUUGAUUUACAACCUUCUGAGCAGUGACUGCUGGCAUCCUUUUACUUGGCUGUGAGUUUGGAUGCUGAUCUCUUCAGAACCUAUCAGUGUCAUUCUCUGCAUUAUGAACAGAGCAGGCCUUUGAGGUAUUUCCCUGAAGAGAUUAAGUAUGAAUGUGAAGUACUGAAUUGCUUUUUGUUCGUUCCACUGAAAAUGCAGACCAACCUGAAUUAUUAGUGUAUGUCUAUAUGUCGAUAUUAUGCAAUAAGCAUAUGUCUAUAUAGUGAUAUUAUGCAAUAAACAAUGCAGAAUAUAUUUUUAUAAUUUAUCUUUUUUUGACUUGCAGAGAAGAGCAAAUAAAAAAAUGUUGUAAAAGCAACAAGCCUGAUUUCAGCAGCUCAGAAGCUGUUCAGUGGUGGCUCUCUGGUGAUCAUAAUCUAUGCUUCUUUGCUGUAAGUCUACAUAUGCUACUGUAGUAAAUGUUUUGUUUUUACUAACAGUUUGAAAGAGAACAAAACAAUAUUUUGCUUUGUAAAAUGAACGUAGAAGUUGCAACUUCUUAUGACCCACCUUAGGACCAUAAAGAAAAUACCUCCUGGGUCAGGUGAGAUGAAUCUGUGGGUAGUCUAUGGGAAACUAUGAAUCUCAGGGUAUGUUUGUAGUGCUUAGUGGAUGACAGAAAAUUUGGGGAAAUACAGCUACAGCGUUUUGUGGAUACACCAGCUCACGUCUGCAAGCAAUGAUGCUGUUCUGUUUUGCCAACUGGACAAUGUGUUUGCACUGAUUUCUGAACCAUGCUGACUCACCUGGGCAACUGACUGUGCCAACGAAUAAAAACAGAGCUUAUCUUUAGCACAGCACAGCUUUUCUGAAUCUGACAAUGCCAGAUCUUUGCUUACUGAAUCAAGCUCAUCGUGUAAUGUGAACUGGGACUUCUGAUGUUAUUAACUAGGGUGCUCUCACAACUAUUCUCUUACUUACAAAAUCCUGUGGCAUUCUUGCUUGUUGAGAACAAGCAUUUUUCCCAUUUUUCCUAACUGUGAGUUUGUAUGUGCUUAGUGAAAGGAACGUAUGAUAUUGUAUGUAGAAUGUCAUGGGGUUUUAGUGGAAACCUUCAUGAACGGUUGCAGAUAUGUUUGUAAUCCCUAGGAUAUGUCAUUUUACUUCUGUUUUUGUUAUUCAGAAACAAAUACAAUUUGUAUUUGUUUACAUAAUGUUUGUCCAAUCUUUGUCAAUAAAUUUGGCAGGG